CACAGGUUUGGUCCUAGCCUUUUUAUUAGUUAUUAGUAAGAUUACACAUGCAAGUAACCGCACUCCAGUGAGAAUGCCCUCUAGGUCACCCGACCAAAAGGAGCAGGUAUCAAGUACACUAACCAGCAGCUCAAAACACCUUGCUAAACCACACCCCCACGGGAUACAGCAGUGAUAAAACUUAAGCAAUAGACGAAAGUCUGACUAAGCUAUACUAACAUUCAGGGUUGGUAAAUUUCGUGCCAGCCACCGCGGCCAUACGAUUAACCCAAACUAAUAUAGAUCGGCGUAAAGCGUGUUUAAUAUUCUCCCCCAAUAAAGUUAAAUUCUGACCAAGCUGUAAAACGCCCCAGUAAGAAUAAAAAUAACCUACGAAAGUGACUUUAGUAACCUGAGAACACGAUAGCUAAGACCCAAACUGGGAUUAGAUACCCCACUAUGCUUAGCCGUAAACCCAAGUAAUCAAUAAACGAGAUUACUCGCCAGAGUACUACAGGCAAUAGCCCAAAACUCAAAGGACUUGGCGGUGCUUUAUAUCCCUCUAGAGGAGCCUGUUCUAUAAUCGAUAAACCCCGAUAAACCUCACCACUUCUUGCUAAUUCAAUCUAUAUACCGCCAUCUUCAGCAAACCCUACCAAGGCCUCAAAGUAAGCAAAAGCAUCAGACAUAAAAACGUUAGGUCAAGGUGUAAUCUAUGGAGUGGAAAGAAAUGGGCUACAUUUUCUAAUAAUAGAACAAUACCCUAACGUCAACCUUUAUGAAACUAAAGACUAAAGGAGGAUUUAGCAGUAAACUAAGAAUAGAGAGCCUAGUUGAAUAGGGCCAUGAAGCACGCACACACCGCCCGUCACCCUCCUCAACUUACUAACUACUAAUUUGCUAACUAUAACACCCUAGUAAAUCAUAAGAGGAGACAAGUCGUAACAAGGUAAGCAUACUGGAAAGUGUGCUUGGAAUACU
rnacentral:ncRNA from 1 species